rnacentral:lncRNA from 1 species
GCAAGAUUAGGAGAAGCCUAAAUUUCCAUCAGCAGAAGAACAGGUUGUUUUUGGUAAGUGAAUAUGAAAGAACUAGAGUUACAUCUUUCAACAUAGAUGAAUCAAAAAUGAUGCAGAGAAAGCUGGAGAAGCUGCACACCAUUUAUGUAAAGUUAAACAUACUGUGUAUCUGUGGGCACAUUAUUUAAACUUACUCGUGUUUCACUUUUUCUGUAAAAUGAGAUAGUAGUGCCAACCUCACCGGGUGAUGGGGGAGGGGGACAGUUAAUGAACUAAUGCAUGUAAACUGCUUAGAAUAGUGGCGGGCAUGUAAGCAUUGUUGGCAUAAGGUAGCCAGUGUUACUGUUUUACACAAUAAUAUAUUUCCUGUGAUUCAAGUUAUAUGAGAUGAAGAGUGUAAAAUCCUGUGUUAGAAUGAUGUGUGAAAGCCAUGCUCUGCCUUCCUAGAGCAGGAGUUGCUGAUGGAAGCAGGGAGGGUACAUGGAGGUUUCAGUUGUGUUUUCUUUCUUUUAAAAUGUUGAUGUAGUUGGGUCCGCAUGUUGAUUUAAUGGGAUAUGUGAUGGGUUCUUUUCUAACUGUGUGUUUAAGAUAUCUCAAAAUAAAAGUAUUUUUAAGCAUGGGCAA